GGACCCGCACAAGCGGUGGAGCAUGUGGUUUAAUUCGAUGCAACGCGAAGAACCUUACCUGGUCUUGACAUCCUGCGAACUUUCUAGAGAUAGAUUGGUGCCUUCGGGAACGCAGUGACAGGUGCUGCACGGCUGUCGUCAGCUCGUGUUGUGAAAUGUUGGUUAAGUCCCGCAACGAGCGCAACCCCUAUUGAUAGUUACCAUCAUUAAGUUGGGUACUCUAUUGAGACUGCCGCUGACAAGGCGGAGGAAGGUGGGGACGACGUCAAGUCAUCAUGGCCCUUACGACCAGGGCUACACACGUGCUACAAUGGCUAGGACAGACGGCCGCAAACCCGCGAGGGGGAG
rnacentral:rRNA from 1 species